CAUGCGCAGCUCUGCUCUCCCAGCCACGCCCUCCUGUGAGCUGGGAAGCAAGUGGCGUGUUGGCCGAAGGUGGGGUUAAUUUAGGAUCAAAGUUGCCUCUCCGUUUGCCCCCCGUGGUUCAGGAGGGCUUGGUAGCAUUUUGUGAGGCGCAGGUUUGAUGAGAGCCGCUUCGCUUCUCAUGAGGAGGGCGGUUGGUCGCCCUCUGCCCGCUGCUCCCUGCUCGCUGUCCCCAAGGAGACGCGUGGGUGUCAAGGUUGACUCUGCUCCGCGGCUUUCACCCAUGUCCCUCCGGACUGCAGAGCAGUCUGUGUUAUUUCCUCUCCGUGAUCGUGCCAUUUUCCAAAAUCGAGGGCUGCAGUUACUCUGAGGUGGGCACAUAACUUCUGGUGAACACGAUCUGGGCAGCUAAAUUCAAGGCUGUGUCGUAUGAAUAUUGAAAUCGUCACUACAAGUGACACAAAUCACUGUCACCACGGUGGCCUGGUGAAUUGGGAUGAAGAUCUGCCACUUGUCCAAGCUGCUGAAUCCCGUAGCACACCUUCCUUCGCCGAGCCAUCCUUUUGAUCAGGGAAGUGGCUCAUCUGUACACUUAAACAAAAUACCCAGCUGCCUCAGGUUUUGGCUGUUUCCAAUGAAGCUGGAGUGCACAUUAGUGAACACCUCUGAUAUGGACAAAAGCACCCAUUUCUUUUAAGAAGAGAUAAUUCCUUGCUGAGAGCUUUCUAAAACUCAGCAGUGGAUCCUGGACUUGGUGCAAGGCUCCUUUUGAAUCCAAUGAGAUGGUCAUGUGACUUUUCUCCUUCACUUUGUUAAUAUGGUGAAUGACAUCAACUGAUUUUUAUAAAUUGCUGUUGUGCUAACCUUGCAUUUCUGGAAUAAAUCCCACU